rnacentral:rRNA from 1 species
CUGACACAGGUGCUGCAUGGCGUGUCGUCAGCUCGUGUCGUGAGAUGUGGGUUAAGUCCGUAACGAGCGCAACCCUUGUCCUUAGUUACCAGCACGUUAUGGUGGGCACUCUAAGGAGACUGCCGGUGACAAACCGGAGGAAGGUGGGGAUGACGUCAAGUCAUCAUGGCCCUUACGGCCUGGGCUACACACGUGCUACAAUGGUCGGUACAAAGGGUUGCCAAGCCGCGAGGUGGAGCUAAUCCCAUAAAACCGAUCGUAGUCCGGAUCGCAGUCUGCAACUCGACUGCGUGAAGUCGGAAUCGCUAGUAAUCGUGAAUCAGAAUGUCACGGUGAAUACGUUCCCGGGCCUU